rnacentral:rRNA from 1 species
CUAACAAGGAUUCCCUUAGUAACUGCGAGUGAAGCGGGAAAAGCUCAAAUUUAAAAUCUGGCAGUCUUUGGCUGUCCGAGUUGUAGUCUGGAGAAGUGCUUUCCGCGCCGGACCGUGUAUAAGUCUCUUGGAAUAGAGCGUCAUAGAGGGUGAGAAUCCCGUCUUUGACACGGACUACCGGUGCUUUGUGAUGCGCUCUCAAAGAGUCGAGUUGUUUGGGAAUGCAGCUCAAAAUGGGUGGUAAAUUCCAUCUAAAGCUAAAUAUUGGCGAGAGACCGAUAGCGAACAAGUACCGUGAGGGAAAGAUGAAAAGCACUUUGGAAAGAGAGUUAAACAGUACGUGAAAUUGCUGAAAGGGAAACGCUUGAAGUCAGUCGCGUCGUGCAGAACUCAGCCUUGCAUUCGCUUGGUGCACUUUCUGUACGACGGGCCAGCAUCGAUUUUAAUCGUUGGAUAAGGGCUCGAGGAAUGUGGCACUCUUUAUGGGUGUGUUAAGCCUCGGGUCGCAUACAACGGUCGGGAUCGAGGAACGCAGCC